GGGGCUAUUUGUUGUUCGCUGUUCGCGGGAAUGGUUUAAGGCAAAGAGAAAACGGGCAAUUAUAAAAAUGUGUGGGAGAAAAAUUAGGAUUAAAAAAAUUUUUUUGAAGAAUUAAAUUUUUCAAAAAAAAUAAAGCUUAUAAUAAUAAACUUUAAUCUUUUUUUAAAUUUAAAGUUUAUUAUUAUAAGCUUUAUUUUUUUAAAAAAUUUAAUGUUAUUAUUAUUUUAAGCUUUAUUAUCAGAUAUUUUAAAGCAGCUUUAUUCUAAAUCUGAUAAUAAUCAUAAGCUUUAUAAUCCUAAUUUUUCUCCAGCUGCAAUAUUUAUUUGGCUCCAGACAAUUGUCAGGAAUUGCCAUUGAUAACUUUUGUGAAAGUGCCGCUGAUAAAUUGUAAAUAAUUUAGAUAUCUUUUGCAAAGGAAAUUAAAUAUAUAAUAAGCUGUCAUUAAUUUUUUAAUUUCAGAUUAUUUUCGAGAUUUUAUUCUAAAAUUAUCAAUAUAAUCAAUAUUAAUGACAGCUUAAUUACCCGCAGACUGGGUAAUUCCAGCUCUGCUAACUACCUAAAUAAAAGAUAUCUGGUUGAUCCUGCCUGAACUGAUGUGUUCAUUUCAAAGAUUAAGCCAUGCAUGUAUAAGUUUAAUCGUUUUAACGAGAAACCGCGAACGGCUCAUUACAAUGGCCAUGAUUUACUUGAUCUUGAUUAUCUAAAUGGAUAACUGUGGAAAAGCUAGAGCUAAUACAUGCACCAAAGCUUUGUCCUCUCGGAAAAGCGCAUUUAUUAGAACAAAACCACGCGGCUUCGGCUGCUUCUUGUUGACUCAGAAUAACUAAGCUGACCGCAUGGCCUUGUGCCGGCGGCGUGUCUUUCAAGCGUCCACUUUAUCAACUUGACGGGAGCACUCCACUUAGCACUCCACGUGCAGGUGUAACGUCGGGGCGCAAAAUCACUUGUAUACGACUUGAAUACUGGUCAGGGGGUUGUAAACAGUAGAGCAGCUCUUCGCUGCGAUCUGCUGAGACUUAGCCCUUGAUCGGAUGAUUUGUCUUUUUUAUAUACUAUAGACAUGUUUAUCCAAGUGCCGUAGGCCAGAGUGCAUUGUCAAAAGUAGACCCAGGCAAUCAAAUUUCACCAGGCAUUUUUGGUUUAUGAGUCUGUGACGAUCCGAUUAAAAAUUGCCUCAGGCAAAGUAGACCAAAGUGCAAUUGACCAAGUGUCGUAGGGUAAUAGGGUUCCCCCAGGCAAUCAAAUUUCACCAGGCAUUUUUGGUUUAUGAGUCUGUGACGAUCCGAUUAAAAAUUGCCUCAGGCAAAGUAGACCAAAGUGCAAUUGACCACCACCAAGUGUAGGGUUCAGGCAAUAGGGUUCCCCCAGGCAAUCAAAUUUCACCAGGCAUUUUUGGUUUAUGAGUCUGUGACGAUCCGAUUAAAAAUUGCCUCAGGCAAAGUAGACCAAAGUGCAAUUGACCAAGUGUAGUAGGGUUCAGGCAAUAGGGUUCCCCCAGGCAAUCAAAUUUCACCAGGCAUUUUUGGUUUAUGAGUCUGUGACGAUCCGAUUAAAAAUUGCCUCAGGCAAAGUAGACCAAAGUGCAAUUGACCAAGUGUCGUAGGGUAAUAGGGUUCCCCCAGGCAAUCAAAUUUCACCAGGCAUUUUUGGUUUAUGAGUCUGUGACGAUCCGAUUAAAAAUUGCCUCAGGCAAAGUAGACCAAAGUGCAAUUGACCAAGUGUCGUAGGGUAAUAGGGUUCCCCCAGGCAAUCAAAUUUCACCAGGCAUUUUUGGUUUAUGAGUCUGUGACGAUCCGAUUAAAAAUUGCCUCAGGCAAAGUAGACCAAAGUGCAAUUGACCAAGUGUCGUAGGGUAAUAGGGUUCCCCCAGGCAAUCAAAUUUCACCAGGCAUUUUUGGUUUAUGAGUCUGUGACGAUCCGAUUAAAAAUUGCCUCAGGCAAAGUAGACCAAAGUGCAAUUGACCAAGUGUCGUAGGGUAAUAGGGUUCCCCCAGGCAAUAAUUAUCUACUCAAGUAUACUCAAGUAAAAAUCAUUUACUCAAGUAUAAAAUCAUUUACUCAAUUAUACUCAAGUAAAAGGUAUGUAUAUAAUAUAGGGUUCCCCCAGGCAAUCAUUAUCUACUUAAUUAUACUCAAGAUUGGCGCUGAACACUUCGAUUGGCGCUGAACAACCAGUUUAGAACUGGCACGAACUCCGGGAAUCCGACUGUCUAAUUAAAACAGAGGAGACGGAUGGUCUUUGCAGGACGUUGACCGUGUCUGAUUUCUGCCCAGUGCUCUGAAUGUUAAGCCAAGGAAACUUGAUUAAGCGCGGGUAAACGGCGGGAGUAACUAUGACUCUCUUAAGGUAGCCAAAUGCCUCGUCGGCUAACUACCGACGCGCACGAAUGGAUCAACGAGAUUCCCACUGUCCCUAUCUACUAUCUAGCGAAACCACAGCCAAGGGAACGGGCUUGGCAAAUUUAGCGGGGAAAGAAGACCCUGUUGAGCUUGACUCUAGUCUGACUUUGUGAAGAAUCAUGAGAGGUGUAGCAUAAGUGGGAGUCGUAAGACAACAGUGAAAUACCACUACUUUCAUCGAUUCCUUACUUAAUCGGUAAAACGGGAGUUGUGUCUACGGACCUUCAUUUUUGUUUUAAGACUAGCCACUCGGUGGUUGGUUGACUCGCGCCGAUGACAUUGUCAGGCGGGGAGUUUGACUGGGGCGGUACAUCUGUCAAAUUGUAACGCAGGUGUCCUAAGGCGAGCUCAGAGAGGACGGAAACCUCUCGUUGAGCAAAAAGGCAAAUGCUUACUUGAUCUUGAUUUUCAGUACGAAUACAGACCGCGAAAGCGUGGCUUAUCGAUCCUUUUGAGUUUGUAAAGUUUACAGCAAGAGGUGUCAGAAAAGUUACCACAGGGAUAACUGGCUUGUGGCGGCCAAGCGUCCAUAGCGACGUCGCUUUUUGAUCCUUCGAUGUCGGCUCUUCCUAUCAUUGCGAAGCAGAAUUCGCCAAGCGUUGGAUUGUUCACCCACCAAUAGGGAACGUGAGCUGGGUUUAGACCGUCGUGAGACAGGUUAGUUUUACCCUACUAAAUACUUGUUGCUAUGAUGGUAAUCCUGCUUAGUACGAGAGGAACCGCAGGUUCAGACAUUUGGUUCAUGUGCUUGGUCGAUAGGCCAAUGGCGCGAAGCUACCAUCUGAGGGAUUAUGACUGAACGCCUCUAAGUCAGAAUCCCGCCCAGUCAUGAUAGCAAUAUAUAUCGCUCUCCGGUGUCGGAAGGCAAAAUGUAUGCCACUUUUUGUGGUAGUACAAGCCCCAGUAUCUGGCAUUUUCUUUCUACUAUAAUUGGUAGUUGUUUGCUAAAAGCUUAGCACUCCACGACCAGGUGUAACGUCGGGGCGCAAAAUCACUUGUAUACGACUUGAAUACUGGUCAGGGGGUUGUAAACAGUAGAGCAGCUCUUCGCUGCGAUCUGCUGAGACUUAGCCCUUGAUCGGAUGAUUU